rnacentral:rRNA from 1 species
GGCGCUGGAGAAUUGAGGGGGGCUGCUCCUAGUACGAGAGGACCGGAGUGGACGCAUCACUGGUGUUCGGGUUGUCAUGCCAAUGGCACUGCCCGGUAGCUAAAUGCGGAAAAGAUAAGUGCUGAAAGCAUCUAAGCACGAAACUUGCCCCGAGAUGAGUUCUCCCUGAGACUUUAAGUCUCCUGAAGGAACGUUGAAGACGACGACGUUGAUAGGUCGGGUGUGUAAGCGCAGCGAUGCGUUGAGCUAACCGAUACUAAUGAACCGUGAGGCUUAACCUU